rnacentral:rRNA from 1 species
CAGACCUCUAAUCGGAAAAGACUACCCGCUGAGUUUAAGCAUAUCACUAAGCGGAGGAGAAGAAACUAACCAGGAUUUCCCUAGUAACGGCGAGCGAACCGGAAAGAGCCCAGCUUGAAAAUCGUGGUGCCUCGUACCUCGAAUUGUAGUCUGGAGAAGGUCCCUCUGCGCCGCGCCGGACCCAAGUUCCCUGGAAAGGGACGUCAUCGAGGGUGACAACCCCGUCCGCGCCCGGAACGCGUCGCUCCACGAGGACCUGUCUGCGAGUCGGGCUGUUUGGGAAUGCAGCCCUAAGCGGGAGGUAAAUUCCUUCCAAGGCUAAAUAUGGGCAAGAGACCGAUAGCGAACAAGUACCGCG